AUUGAACGCUGGCGGCAUGCUUUACACAUGCAAGUCGAACGGUAACAGGCCGCAAGGUGCUGACGAGUGGCGAACGGGUGAGUAAUGCAUCGGAACGUGCCCAGUCGUGGGGGAUAACGCAGCGAAAGCUGUGCUAAUACCGCAUACGAUCUAUGGAUGAAAGCGGGGGACCGUAAGGCCUCGCGCGAUUGGAGCGGCCGAUGUCAGAUUAGGUAGGUGGUGGGGUAAAGGCUCACCAAGCCAACGAUCUGUAGCUGGUCUGAGAGGAGGACCAGCCACACUGGGACUGAGACACGGCCCAGACUCCUACGGGAGGCAGCAGUGGGGAAUUUUGGACAAUGGGCGCAAGCCUGAUCCAGCAAUGCCGCGUGCAGGAAGAAGGCCUUCGGGUUGUAAACUGCUUUUGUACGGAACGAAAAGGUUUGGGUUAAUACCCUGGGCCGAUGACGGUACCGUAAGAAUAAGCACCGGCUAACUACGUGCCAGCAGCCGCCGUAAAAC
rnacentral:rRNA from 1 species